rnacentral:rRNA from 1 species
GUCUUUUUGAAUUAAAUUUAAAGUCUAAUCUGCCCACUGAUAACAUAAAUUAAAUGGCCGCAGUAUUUUAACUGUGCAAAGGUAGCAUAAUCAUUAGUCUUUUAAUUGAGGGCUGGAAUGAAUGAUUGGACGAGAUAUAAUCUGUCUCAUUGAAAAUUGUUUAUAGAAUUUUAUUUUUUAGUUAAAAAGCUAAAAUUUUUUUAAAAGACGAGAAGACCCUAUAGAUCUUUAUAUUAAUUAUAUAAUUUGUUUUUUAGAUAAUUUAAAUAAUUAUGUUUAUUAGUAUUUUGUUGGGGUGACAUUGAAAUUUAAUAAACUUUCAGUAAGAAUUGAACAUUUAUAGAUGGGUUUUAUUUGAUCCUAUAUUAUAGAUAUAAAAAUUAAGUUACCUUAGGGAUAACAGCGUAAUUAUUUCGGAGAGUUCAUAUUGAUGAAAUAGAUUGCGACCUCGAUGUUGGAUUAAGAUUAAUAAUAGGGGCAGUUUCUUAUUAUAUUAAGUCUGUUCGACUUUUAAAUUCUU